AUUAGGCCCAAUAAAGUUGAUCCCAUGUUCCCUGCACAUUUCAACAAAUACUGCAUUCUCAGCAAGGAAACCAUAUCCAGGGUGCAACAUUGUACAUCCACGACUUAUAGCAGCCGAUAAAACAUUUGGAAUCAAUAAGUACCUGUUGAAAUGCAAGUCAAAGUUAACCAUAGACAUUUUUCCAUUAUCAUCCAGAUGUGCAACACAAAUGUGCUUAAAAUUAAUUAAUGGGAAAAUAAAUGACUGUUCAAGCAGCAAAUUGCUUUGCCUACCUCAAAUAAAAAUGUAAAAAGUAAAGAAAUAUUUACAGAGAAAGAGAGAGUGCUUUCAGCAAGGGGUAAAGGAUAUAACUGGGGCAAUUUGUAAAGUAGCUAUGGGAACUUAACGCAAGAAAACUACUUCUCCAAUUGGAUCUGUAGUAAGAAGGCAGAGCUUAAUGAACAAGACAUCAAGUAAAAAGCAUACUAUAAUAAUUUAAGAGAACAAAAAAGAACUACAAUUUUUUGUCUAGAAUGGGGAAUAACUUAAAUUUCACUAUAGAGAUGUGAAAAAGACCUAGGAAACAAGAAGGAUUCAUAGAGUUAGUAAUUUUCCUCAACUUCUUUUAUCCAUGUGCAAUUCACAUGGUCAAUUUUUUCUCUAAUUAAAUGCUAAAGUGCACGACUCAACUAAGCCUUAAUCCUAACUAAGUGAGACAGCUAUAUGGGUCUUCUUCCUCCAUUCUGCUUAAUUUAGACAUACAUUCAUAUAGAGGUAUAUUGAUGCUGAAUCCUUCCUAACCACUUUCUCCCAUAUCAGGUUUACCUCUCCUCUUCUUCACUUGUGUUACUUAUGCAUGUAAGCUGCACAAAACUAUGGGAGAGAGCAAUGGAUCACAUGUUAAACUGCGGGGUGGUUGUCUUGUAGUAGCUCAAGCCUAUAUGCUAUAAAAACCGAUUUAUGUUCAAAAUAACAACUCUUUAAUGGGAAAUGUUUCAAUUAUAUUAGGAAAGUAUAGGAGACAUAUAGGGAUAAAAAAUCAAUUGAUGUCAAGAUUGAUUAAAUUAAAAGUGGGUACACAAGAGUUUUAGUAAUCAUUUGCUACCAGGUACAGUGUGGAAAAUCCCAACCACCACUAUUAUCAGAUUUUUGAGCUAAUCCAAUGUCAUAAAUGACAUUCAUAAAUUUAAUUACACUUCUUACCAUCUGUCAUUUUAUUCAGAUAUGUUUUAAUUUCUUAUAUAUCAUUUUAUUCAAUAUAUCCAAUUUUCUUAGGCAUAAUAAAACUACAGAGUUUUCUUCGAAAUUUCUAAAAGGCUUUUUGCCUGUCAUAACAAGGCAUUUCUUGUUUCUAUUCCCAUCAAUUAUAACCUAACCAUCAAUAAUAAGUAAUUAAUUCCAAGUACAGAAAUCAUUUCAAAAUGUUCAUAUUAUAUUAGAAAUUCCAACAGUCAAAAAGUAAUGUGGUAAACACAUAGAAAGGUUAUCACCAGGAUAUCAUAACAAGUGGACAAAGAAAACUGAAAAUUAUUUGUAAAAUACCAUUUGCUAUGGAGUUCAAUAUAGGUGUAGUCAAGAUUAUUCCACUAGAUCCUUAAGACCAGAUUAUGGAACCACACAUCUUAUAUGCUUAAGGAGGCUCAAAUCUAAUUGUUUUCUGUCCAUACUUUUUUAUCUCUUUUCAUAACCCAAGUGAUUCAACAUUUCACACUUUGUUUCCCUAUAAACUAUUGCAACAAAUUAAAAGCUCCAACCUGUGAUCUCUACCCAAGCACCCACCAAUCAACUACCUGAGGAAAAACCUGGGUGGCAGGUUAUGACUUCAUCAUAAGAAAAUUAUUAAAUAUGGGAUAUUAGACAUGGGAAA
rnacentral:misc_RNA from 1 species